UGGGGGAUAACGUUCGGAAACGGACGCUAAUACCGCAUACGUCCUACGGGAGAAAGCAGGGGACCUUCGGGCCUUGCGCUAUCAGAUGAGCCUAGGUCGGAUUAGCUAGUUGGUGAGGUAAUGGCUCACCAAGGCGACGAUCCGUAACUGGUCUGAGAGGAUGAUCAGUCACACUGGAACUGAGACACGGUCCAGACUCCUACGGGAGGCAGCAGUGGGGAAUAUUGGACAAUGGGCGAAAGCCUGAUCCAGCCAUGCCGCGUGUGUGAAGAAGGUCUUCGGAUUGUAAAGCACUUUAAGUUGGGAGGAAGGGCAGUUACCUAAUACGUGAUUGUUUUGACGUUACCGACAGAAUAAGCACCGGCUAACUCUGUGCCAGCAGCCGCGGUAAUACAGAGGGUGCAAGCGUUAAUCGGAAUUACUGGGCGUAAAGCGCGCGUAGGUGGUUUGUUAAGUUGGAUGUGAAAUCCCCGGGCUCAACCUGGGAACUGCAUUCAAAACUGACUGACUAGAGUAUGGUAGAGGGUGGUGGAAUUUCCUGUGUAGCGGUGAAAUGCGUA
rnacentral:rRNA from 6 species